rnacentral:rRNA from 1 species
AGCGAACGCUGGCGGCAGGCCUAACACAUGCAAGUCGAACGAAGUCUUCGGACUUAGUGGCGGACGGGUGAGUAACACGUGGGAACGUGCCUUUAGGUUCGGAAUAACUCAGGGAAACUUGUGCUAAUACCGAAUGUGCCCUUCGGGGGAAAGAUUUAUCGCCUUUAGAGCGGCCCGCGUCUGAUUAGCUAGUUGGUGGGGUAAUGGCCCACCAAAGCUACGAUCAGUAGCUGGUCUGAGAGGAUGACCAGCCACAUUGGGACUGAGACACGGCCCAAACUCCUACGGGAGGCAGCAGUGGGGAAUCUUGCGCAAUGGGCGAAAGCCUGGCGCAGCCAUGCCGCGUGGAUGAUGAAGGUCUUAGGAUUGUAAAAUCCUUUCACCGGUGAAGAUAAUGACUGUAGCCGGAGAAGAAGCCCCGGCUAACUUCGUGCCAGCCGCCGCUGUAAUAC